rnacentral:rRNA from 1 species
UACAGAGGGUGCGAGCGUUAAUCGGAAUUACUGGGCGUAAAGCGUGCGUAGACGGCUAUCUAAGUCGGGUGUGAAAGCCCCGGGCUCAACCUGGGAAUUGCAUUCGAGACUGAAUAGCUAGGGUACGGUAGAGGGAAGUGGAAUUUCCGGUGUAGCGGUGAAAUGCGUAGAUAUCGGAAGGAACAUCAGUGGCGAAAGCGACUCCUGGAC